UUAAGCAAAAAAGAGCGCAGGGUGGAUGCCUUGGCACUAAGAGCCGAAGAAAGACGUGAUAAGCUGCGAAAAGCUGCGGGGAGAUGCAAAUAAUCCUUGAUCCGCAGAUGUCUGAAUGGGGAAACCCGGUACGAAGAACUCGUAUCAUCCAUACGCCAAUCCAUAACGUAUGGAGGGGAACCCGGUGAACUGAAACAUCUAAGUAGCCGGAGGAAGAGAAAGAAACAUCGAUUUUGUUAGUAGCGGCGAGCGAAAGCGAAAGAGGCCAAACCGGAGUGCGUGCACUCCGGGGUUCGGACCGCAUUUAAGAUUCAGUGAUUCUAGCAGAAAGGUUUGGGAAAGCCUGCCGGAGAGGGUGAAAGCCCCGUAAGCGAAAGGAGAGCUGACUGAGCGGGAUCCAGAGUACAUCGAGACACGAGAAACCUUGAUGGAAAGAGCGGGGACCACCCCGUAAGCCUAAAUACUACUUAGUGACCGAUAGCGCAUAGUACUGUGAAGGAAAGGUGAAAAGGACCCCGGGAGGGGAGUGAAAGAGAACCUGAAACCCUGUGUUUACAAGCUGUGGAAGUUCUUUAAAUGAACAACCGCGUACUUUUUGUAGAACGGUCCGGCGAGUUGCGGAUACUGGCAAGGUUAAGCACUUAAGGUGCGGAGCCGAAGGGAUACCAAGUCUUAACAGGGCGUUAAGUCAGUAUACGCAGACCCGAAACCGGGUGAUCUAUCCAUGUCCAGGUUGAAGUUGUCGUAAAAGACAAUGGAGGACCGAAGCCACAUCCGUUGAAAAGGGUGGGCAUGAGGUGUGGAUAGGGGAGAAAUUCCAAUCGAACCCGGAGAUAGCUGGUUCUCCUCGAAAUAGCUUUAGGGCUAGCCUCGAUUUAGUCUUAUGGAGGUAGAGCACUGAAUUUCCGCGGGGGCGUCAAAGCUUACCAAAGAAUAUCAAACUCCGAAUGCCAUGUAGAUGAUGAUCGGGAGUCAGACUGCACGAGAUAAGUUGGGCAGUCAAAAGGGAAAGAGCCCAGACCACCGGCUAAGGUCCCAAAGUGCGUGUUAAGUGGAAAAGGAUGUGGGAAUUCGAAGACAACUAGGAUGUUGGCUCAGAAGCAGCCAUACAUUCAAAGAGUGCGUAACAGCUCACUAGUCGAGAGUUCCUGCGCCGAAAAUGUCCGGGGCUGAAACACGACACCGAAGCCGUGGACUCGCAAUGCGAGUGGUAGAGGAGCAUUCUUAAGACCGACGAAGCUGUACCGGAAGGAGCAGUGGAGGGAUAAGAAGAGAGAAUGCCGGAAUGAGUAGCGAGAGAAAGGUGGGAAUCCUUUCGGCCGAAUAUCUAAGGUUUCCAGAGUAAAGCUGAUCUGCUCUGGGUAAGUCGGGGCCUAAGCACAGGUCGCAAGACGUAAGCGAUGGAUAACAGGUUUAGAUUCCUGUACCACGCAUUAUCAGAACUGUAGGGACGCAUGUGGAAAGCACGAGCCGGGAAUGGAAAGACCGGUACAAGCGGGGUAGGAGUACAAUAGGCAAAUCCGUUGUAUGAUCCGAAGACGUGAUGUGGAGCGAAAUAAAGUAGUGAAGCGUGUGAGCCAUGUGCCGAGAAAAGCUGCUAUUGUGUAAUGCGUGCCCGUACCGUAAACCGACACAGGUGGAUGAGGAGAGAAUCCUAAGGCCGACGGAAGAAGCAUUGUUAAGGAAUUCGGCAAAAUGACCCCGUAACUUCGGGAGAAGGGGUGCCUGCGAGAGCAGGCCGCAGAGAAUAGGCUCAAGCAACUGUUUAGCAAAAACACAGGUCUAUGCGAAACCGAAAGGUGAAGUAUAUGGGCUGACGCCUGCCCGGUGCUGGAAGGUUAAGAGGAGAGGUUAGCGAAAGCGAAGCUUUGAAUUUAAGCCCCAGUAAACGGCGGCCGUAACUAUAACGGUCCUAAGGUAGCGAAAUUCCUUGUCGGGUAAGUUCCGACCCGCACGAAAGGCGUAAUGAUUUGAGCACUGUCUCG
rnacentral:rRNA from 1 species